CCGGCGACCGGCGCACGGGUGAGUAACACGUAUGAAACCUGCCCGUAGCAGGGGGAUAAGCGGAAGAAGUUCCGUCUAAUACCGCGUAACAACCCAUGGAGGCAUCUCUGUGGGUUUAAAGGAAGCGAUUCCGGCUACGGAUGGUCAUGCGUCGCAUUAGCUUGUUGGCGGGGUAACGGCCCACCAAGGCGACGAUGCGUAGGGGUUCUGAGAGGAAGGUCCCCCACACUGGUACUGAGACACGGACCAGACUCCUACGGGAGGCAGCAG
rnacentral:rRNA from 1 species